rnacentral:lncRNA from 1 species
AGGAAACAGAGACAGAAAAGAGUAUUGCUCUUGUAAAAGGGUUAGAAAACAAUGUUAACAGAAAGAAGGGGAAAGGGAUUAAAUCCAGGUCAUGCAUUAAAGUUGUAAAGGUAUAUUCAUUUAAACAGUAUUUUGGUAGAUUAAUUUGUAACAGUUUAAACAGAUAAAACUCUGAUAUUGGUACAAGAAACUGAUACUUUUAAUUAAGAUAGUGGUAGUAAUGUGUUCAAUAGCUCUUUUGUCAAGAUGUGUGUAUAGUUACACAAAAAAAACUGCUUGUGAUAAUUGACAUUAGAAUUGGCUUUUUUACAUUAAUGAAACUUAUAUUCAAAAUGAUUACAUGAAUAACCUCAAAACAUAGACCAAAUUCGAAUUUGGGUGGCAUCACUUUUAUUGUUCUAGAUUUAUGGCCCUUUUUAAAUUAUAUGCAAGUGGAGGCAUCUGUGUCGCAUGGACACAUUGUCUAUUUAUUUUUAUAAAAUAUUAUGCAUGAAAUAAAUAAGUGAAAAGUUAAUUAUUAAAUUUUUGUACAAGGACCAAUUAUUGUAUUCAUCACUGAAGUUCAUAAAAAAAGAAUUGACUGUUUUGGUUUUUUUUUCAGAAUGUGCAGAAAAUAGAUUCCCUUCCCAUAAAACACCUGGAAACGGAAGAGGGAGAGGCUCCGUAUGUAGUGGUCUUCCUUGACCAGGAGGGAAAUACCUUAUGUUCACACGUAAUUGGAGAUGGCAGGAAAAUAAUAGGACAAACAUUAAAUGUGUUGGACUCAUUACUGUUACUAAUUGCAGUUUAUUAUGUUUUUGAUUUGGAUUAUCCCGAAAUUUAUUCCCAGACACUGGGGAUUUUACAACAGUGGGCUAUUGGGGAUCAAUAUACCCAGCAAAAAUCAAGCAAUUGGAUAAAAUUCUCUGACGUGUUG